UGGUGCCCUCAGGAAGCAGUUCCUAGAGGAUGCUCGUGACGUGUGCCUGUUUGGACAUAUGCUCUGUGGAACUCAGUGCCUGACUUAAAACCCUUGGGACCUGGCCUCCGGUGCUUGGCUUCUGAGACAUGUCCCAGCAUAUUCACGAAGACUUAGCUCCCCCUCGUCCUUGGUAGGAAAUCAACCCAAGACUUUUACACCCUUAAACAUAAGGAGAAAGCAUCACCUUUGCCUCUUGGUGGCCACCAGGGAGGACAGCCCAGUACAAGUACCAGGAUGCGAUAAGAGGGGACACCCAAAUGCCACGGCCGAAUCCCCUUUCCCUCCCCCAUGCACCAGACUGAGGGGUGAGCCACACAGUUUCCUUCGGAACUUUCCAUUCUCCACGCACAGAUAUUCGUAAAGCAGUUUAGGACCCAAAGGCUAGCCUGGCAGCCUGGCGUCUUAUGUGGAAAAGUGAGAGACCAGCGUUUGCCCUGGGAAAAGAGGCAGCUGGAACGGUAUCAGGCGAUGUGGGCGUGUGGUCCCUCUUCCAGGGCAGGUGUGGCUUCUGUGACGCCAUCCUGCUCUCAGGAUACUCUGUUGGACGUCCUGGAUCAGCAGCAAGGGCACCACCCCGCACAUUGUCACCCAAAUGCCUCUAAAAAACAGAAAUUAUAAGCAUGACUAACAUUUGUUGAGCACCUACUAUGGGCCAGGCCCUGCUGGGAGCUUUACAAAUGCUUAUCCUUCUGAUAGCCAUGUGGGAUAAGGUAUAUCACCUUGACGGAGUAUAUAAAAUUCAUCUGUUUGGUUUGUUCCUAUCCCGUUCCACCCACUCGUCCUUCAUCCAUCCAUCCAUCCACCCAUCCAUCCAUCCAUCUCUUUUCCUCUCUCUCUCUCUUCACCCGAUCUCUGGGUCAGGACUAUAGAAAAAGAGUGGACGCAGACCACGCAGCUGAGAACUGGUUUGAGUCCAAGAUGGCG
ensembl:lncRNA